GCUCCAGUAGCCCAGUGGUUUAAGGCGCCGUGCUUAUAGGGAUUUUAACCUAUCACCGAGAGACGCGGAGGUCGCGAGUUCGACCCUCGCCUGGAGCA